rnacentral:rRNA from 1 species
CUGCUUUGCUGACGAGUGGCGGACGGGUGAGUAAUGUCUGGGAAACUGCCUGAUGGAGGGGGAUAACUACUGGAAACGGUGGCUAAUACCGCAUAACGUCGCAAGACCAAAGAGGGGGACCUUCGGGCCUCUUGCCAUCAGAUGUGCCCAGAUGGGAUUAGCUUGUUGGUGAGGUAACGGCUCACCAAGGCGACGAUCCCUAGCUGGUCUGAGAGGAUGACCAGCCACACUGGAACUGAGACACGGUCCAGACUCCUACGGGAGGCAGCAGUGGGGAAUAUUGCACAAUGGGCGCAAGCCUGAUGCAGCCAUGCCGCGUGUAUGAAGAAGGCCUUCGGGUUGUAAAGUACUUUCAGCGGGGAGGAAGGUGUUGUGGUUAAUAACCGCAGCAAUUGACGUUACCCGCAGAAGAAGCACCGGCUAACUCCGUGCCAGCAGCCGCGGUAAUACGGAGGGUGCAAGCGUUAAUCGGAAUUACUGGGCGUAAAGCGCACGCAGGCGGUCUGUCAAGUCGGAUGUGAAAUCCCCGGGCUCAACCUGGGAACUGCAUUCGAAACUGGCAGGCUUGAGUCUUGUAGAGGGGGGUAGAAUUCCAGGUGUAGCGGUGAAAUGCGUAGAGAUCUGGAGGAAUACCGGUGGCGAAGGCGGCCCCCUGGACAAAGACUGACGCUCAGGUGCGAAAGCGUGGGGAGCAAACAGGAUUAGAUACCCUGGUAGUCCACGCCGUAAACGAUGUCUACUUGGAGGUUGUGCCCUUGAGGCGUGGCUUCCGGAGCUAACGCGUUAAGUAGACCGCCUGGGGAGUACGGCCGCAAGGUUAAAACUCAAAUGAAUUGACGGGGGCCCGCACAAGCGGUGGAGCAUGUGGUUUAAUUCGAUGCAACGCGAAGAACCUUACCUGGUCUUGACAUCCACAGAACUUUCCAGAGAUGGAUUGGUGCCUUCGGGAACUGUGAGACAGGUGCUGCAUGGCUGUCGUCAGCUCGUGUUGUGAAAUGUUGGGUUAAGUCCCGCAACGAGCGCAACCCUUAUCCUUUGUUGCCAGCGGUCCGGCCGGGAACUCAAAGGAGACUGCCAGUGAUAAACUGGAGGAAGGUGGGGAUGACGUCAAGUCAUCAUGGCCCUUACGACCAGGGCUACACACGUGCUACAAUGGCGCAUACAAAGAGAAGCGACCUCGCGAGAGCAAGCGGACCUCAUAAAGUGCGUCGUAGUCCGGAUUGGAGUCUGCAACUCGACUCCAUGAAGUCGGAAUCGCUAGUAAUCGUGGAUCAGAAUGCCACGGUGAAUACGUUCCCGGGCCUUGUACACACCGCCCGUCACACCAUGGGAGUGGGUUGCAAAAGAAGUAGGUAGCUUAACCUUCGGGGGGGCGCUUACCACUUUGUGAUUCAUGACUGGGGUGAAGUCGUAACAAGGUAACCGUAGGGGAACCUGCGGUUG